UACGUAGGGUGCGAGCGUUUGUCCGGAAUUAUUGGGCGUAAAGAGCUUGUAGGCGGUUUGUCGCGUCUGCUGUGAAAUCUCAAGGCUCAACCUUGAGCUUGCAGUCGAUACGGGCAGGCUAGAGUUCGGCAGGGGAGACUGGAAUUCCUGGUGUAGCGGUGAAAUGCGCAGAGUAUCAGGAGGAACACCGGUGGCGAAGGCGGGUCUCUGGGCCGAUACUGACACUGAGGAGCGAAAGCGUGGGGAGCGAACAGG
rnacentral:rRNA from 1 species